GACGAACGCUGGCGGCGUGCCUAAUACAUGCAAGUAGAACGCUGAAGGAGGAGCUUGCUUCUCCGGAUGAGUUGCGAACGGGUGAGUAACGCGUAGGUAACCUGCCUGGUAGCGGGGGAUAACUAUUGGAAACGAUAGCUAAUACCGCAUAAGAGUAGAUGUCGCAUGACAUUUGCUUAAAAGGUGCAACUGCACCACUACCAGAUGGACCUGCGUUGUAUUAGCUAGUUGGUGAGGUAACGGCUCACCAAGGCAACGAUACAUAGCCGACCUGAGAGGGUGAUCGGCCACAAUGGGACUGAGACACGGCCCAGACUCCUACGGGAGGCAGCAGUAGGGAAUCUUCGGCAAUGGACGGAAGUCUGACCGAGCAACGCCGCGUGAGUGAAGAAGGUUUUCGGAUCGUAAAGCUCUGUUGUAAGAGAAGAACGAGUGUGAGAGUGGAAAGUUCACACUGUGACGGUAUCUUACCAGAAAGGGACGGCUAACUACGUG
rnacentral:rRNA from 1 species